GACGAACGCUGGCGGCGUGCUUAACACAUGCAAGUCGAACGGAAAGGCCCUGCUUUUGCGGGGCGCUCGAGUGGCGAACGGGGGAGUAACACGUGAGUAACCUGUCCCUGACUUUGGGAUAACUUCAGGAAACUGGGGCUAAUACCGCAUAGGAGCUCCUGCUGCAUGGUGGGGGUUGGAAAGUUUCGGCGGUUGGGGAUGGACUCGCGGCUUAUCAGCUUGUUGGUGGGGUAGUGGCUUACCAAGGCUUCGACGGGUAGCCGGCCUGAGAGGGUGGCCGGCCACAUGAGGACUGAGAUACGGCCCAGACUCCUACGGGAGGCAACGGUGGGGAGUAUUGCACAAUGGGCGGAAGCCUGAUACAGCAACGCCGCGUGCGGGAUGACGGCCUUCGGGUUGUGAACCGCUUUCGCCUGUGACGAGGCGUGAGUGACGGUAAUGGGUAAAGAAGCACCGGCUAACUACGUG
rnacentral:rRNA from 1 species